UACAGUUAGUAAAAGUGGCCCAAGACUGGUUGCCCACUGAAGCUAAGCAGGGCUGAGCCUGGUCAGUACCUGGAUGGGAGACCUCCUGGGAAAACUAGGUUGCUGCUGGAG
rnacentral:rRNA from 1 species